CCUACGGGAGGCAGCAGUGGGGAAUAUUGGGCAAUGGGCGCAAGCCUGACCCAGCAACGCCGCGUGAGGGAAGAAGGCUUUCGGAUUGUAAACUUCUGUUAACAGGGAAGAACAGACGACGUUAUCUCUUGCAUAAGCUACGCCUAACUACGUGCCAGCAGCCGCGGUAAUACGUAGGUGGCAGGCGUUGUCCGGAUUUACUGGGUGGAAAGGGCGUGCAGCCGGGAAGACAAGUCAGAUGUGAAAUCCCUGGGCUCAACGGGGGAACUGCAUUUGAAACUGGUUUUCUUGAGUGCGGGAGAGGUCAUCGGAAUUCCUGGUGUAGGAGUGAAAUGCGUAGAUAUAAGGAAGAACACCAGUGGCGAAGGCGGAUGACUGGACGGCAACUGACGGUGAGGCGCGAAAGCGUGGGGAGCAAACAGGAUUAGAUACCCGGGUAGUC
rnacentral:rRNA from 1 species